GAAAAACACAAUCAGCAAUCUGGAUUUACUAUUCAAAAUUUGGUAUAUUUGACAAUUUAGUAUGCAGUGUAUCUGAUUUGUUUGGAGCUGGGACAGAGACAACAAGCACCACCAUGAGAUAUGGACUCCUGCUCCUACUGAAGUACCCGGAGGUCACAGCUAAAGUCCAAGAAGAGAUUGGCCAUGUGGUUGGCAGACACCGGAGUCCCUGCAUGCAGGACAGGAGCCGCAUGCCCUACACAGAUGCUGUGGUGCAUGAGAUCCAGAGAUAUAUUAACCUCCUUCCCACCAACCUGCCCCAUGCAGUGACAUGUGACGUUAAAUUCAGAAACUACUUCAUCCCUAAGGGCACAACCAUAUUUACAUCACUUUCAUCUGUGCUGCACGAUGAGAAAGAAUUCCCCAACCCAAAGGUGUUUGACCCUGGCCACUUUCUGGAUGAGAGUGGAAACUUUAAGAAAAGUGACUACUUUAUGCCUUUCUCAGCAGGAAAACGGAUUUGUGUGGGAGAGAGCCUGGCCCGCAUGGAGCUGUUUUUGUUCCUGACCACCAUUUUACAGAACUUUAACCUGAAAUCUCUGGUUGAUCCAAAGGACCUUGAUACCACCCCAGUUGCCAGUGGAUUGGCAUCUGUGCCACCCUCAUACCAGAUCUGCUUCAAUCCUGUCUGAAGAAAGGCAGAUUGUUCACUGCUGCUGUGCUGUUGUCUGCAACCUUCCCUCCUCUGGGGCAUUGGCCACUUCCUUCUCCUAUUGGGUAUUCCUUUUCUGACCUCUUUUCUCACAUUUCCCAUGACCUGAAGAUCAAAUGAACACCCGACCUUCAUUAAGGAGAGUUUCUGAAGUUUCGCUGUACAAAUACACCUAUUUCCUAUACUCUCUAACAUUUGUGUUUACCACCACAUAUGUUACCACUUAUCUAAUGUGAACAUAUUAAAAU